AUGACCCCAGGUCAGUAAGGA
rnacentral:rRNA from 1 species